AAUGAACGCUGGCGGCAGGCCUAACACAUGCAAGUCGAACGGAUCCUUCGGGAUUAGUGGCGGACGGGUGAGUAACGCGUGGGAACAUACCCUUUGGUACGGAAUAGCCUCGGGAAACUGGGAGUAAUACCGUAUGUGGUCGAGAGACGAAAGAUUUAUCGCCAAAGGAUUGGCCCGCGUUGGAUUAGGUAGUUGGUGGGGUAAUGGCCUACCAAGCCGACGAUCCGUAGCUGGUUUGAGAGGAUGAUCAGCCACACUGGGACUGGGACACGGCCCAGACUCCUACGGGAGGCAGCAGUGGGGAAUCUUAGACAAUGGGGGAAACCCUGAUCUAGCCAUGCCGCGUGAUCGAUGAAGGCCUUAGGGUUGUAAAAAUCUUUCAGGUGGGAAGAUAAUGACUGUACCACCAGAAGAAGCCCCGGCUAACCCCGUGCCAGCCGCCGCGGUAAUAC
rnacentral:rRNA from 1 species